ACCCCCCAUUCAAUACAAACUCCUACAAACCCUUCUCCAAUAAAGGUAAAUCUCAAGGACGAAUUUGACUUCCUCCAAAUCGAAAGGAUCCCACCACUACUCCCUUCCGAUGGGAGAACAGCCCAAAGACAAUCCUGAGAACCCCAAAGACCAACACAAAGCUUCUCAUCCACAUUCUCCAAUUUUGUUUCUUGAAUAGCCAUAAAAUCAAUUUGACACUACAAAAAAAACUAUAAUUUGUGACGGAUUGUCCACGACUGUUCCCUCAACCGUCGCCGCUAUUUUCAAUUUUUGAGGAUUACGGCCGUUCAUUCUAAACGGUCGCCGCUUAUAUCCUAUCCGCGUAAUAUUCACUCGCAUUCCCUCCUUUUUUUUACAGAACCCGUUAUUUUUUUUCACAAGUCGAAGCUUCAGAUUCAGUAUCUCAGAUUCUUCGUUCGUUCAAUCUUCGUUUGUUCUUUUAACACAAGCUUCAAUUUUCGUUUAGAUUCAAUCUUCUUCUUCACUCUAAGCUGUUUAAUCUUGGUCUUCACCCUAAGAUUCAGAUUCAAACCCGUUCUUCAACCUAAGCUUCAGAUUCAAACUAGUUUGUUCAAUGUAAGCUUCAGAUUCUCCUCAAAUUCUUCAAUUAACCUUCAAAAUCACCUUCAGGUCUGAGAAGCUUAUUAUAGUCUUGGAUCAAUAUUAGUCCAUUCAAGGUAGCAAUGAAGAAAAACUUGGUACAGAAAAUGCAAUGUGGUGAAGAAGAAGAUGUUGUUAACCAAGUCUGUUAAUGACACACUUGAAAGGUAAAUCUGUCUAUUUUUUAGAAAUUGCCAAUUUCUCCCUUCAUUACAAGAAAAUUUCAUUUAGCUACUGAUAAAUUUAGUAGAUACUCAAAUGCAAUUAACUAUCUAUUAGCAAGGAUAUAUCUUCACUUGAAAGGUAGUGCAAAAAUGUUGUGUCAAUGAGAACUAAGGUGGGUGCAAAAUUUUUAUUUUAGUGUAGGAAAUUUUAUAGAACAGUUUGUCAUGUUUACUUUUCUCUAAACUUAUUGCAUACUUCCUCUGCUUUGGAGAAGUUAUAGAACAAUUGUAUAUGUUGUUGAGUUUUCUAGAUGAAUCUGUGUAGAUUCAUAAGAGAGCUUUUUAAAGUGUAAAGAAUUCUGAAUCGAAACAAUUCAGAUAUUUGGUAUGAGAGGAUGCAUUAUAGAAGCAAUUCACCACUUUCACUUUUAUUUCCUUUAGCUAACAUCCAUAUUAAAAUAGUUCCAGCAUUCAAAGCUCAUUGCAACUUUUAUAUAUUCCAUAUUUCCUAACCAGGGUCUGCAUAAUAGUCCUUCUUCAUAUCUUAUAUUAUUGAUAGUAUAUGGCUAUCAUGUACAUGACAUGUGUGCCUUAUGAUAUACAUUGUAGAAUUUGAUAUAGGCUUUAGUGUCCCUUUUGCGAACACUCAAAGAUGAGGAACAUUAUAGGGAGUUAUUUAUACACGUAGUUUUCUCAUAUUUUGUGCAAUUUAAUGUAGAUUUGUUUUAAUGCAACUGAAUGUAUAUGCUUACUUCUUAGUUAUGUGAGAUUUAUCAAUGAUUGUAUAGCCUUUUUAAUUCUCUACUGUUAUCACUACUGUUAUGCUCUUGUAUUUGUGAGGCCUCGGUUUUAUUUGGUUUGUAGCUUUUUUAGUCUAUUGGUGCAGGUUGUAAAUUUUGUUCAUUUCUUUUAUCCAAAUAAUCAUAUUGACUCCAUGGUAAUAGAUGUAAGAUUAACACUAAUAUAAUUCUAUUGUUCUCUCUCACUCUCUUCCACUGCGGUUUGUUUGAUAUUAAAUAGGUUGACUAGAGAUGUUUAGAGGCGAAACAAGGGGAGAUUUUAACAAAUCUUGGAAGUGGUGAAUACUUCUCUUACUCUUCAUUGUGAUAUAUAUUGCCAUGUAAACAUGGGUCGAGCAACUGCACAAAAUAUAUAAGUUAUGUGGCUCUCCAUCAGAGGAAUAUUGGAAGAAAUAUAAAUUCUGAAGGUGAAGAGUGUGCUUGACCCUUGUGAGGAUGACAAUGAGGGAAUCCAAAGUUUUCAUCAGGAUCUAAAGUUUUCUUCUAAUUCAGUACAGACAACACAAUUACUAUGCUAUAACCAUUUGAUUCAAAAAAAACUAUGCUAUAACCAUAUAUGUCAAAAUAGUUAAUGAACUCUAUUGCCAUUCAAAAAAAAGUUAAUGAACUCUAUUUAUUUCAGAAAAUACCCAGGACCCAAUUGAAGAUGAGCAACAAUUGGUCCGGUUUAAGGAAUCGCUAAACUGUUGUCACCUUGAUACCAUUGAUCUUACUGAUGUUCUAUCAAACUUUCCAUACAUCUCAGUGGUACCUACUUUAAUGUGAUGCUAUGUUUCAAUUAUCAUGUUCAAUGUGCUGCCUGCAAUUUUCAUCCAUUUCCAUACUCUUUGGAUUGUUUCCAUUUAUAUUUAAUUAGACAUUUGUGUUGAACUUUGGUUGUAUAAUUUAUUCAUUUUUUAUGGAACUUUGGUUGUAUAA